rnacentral:lncRNA from 1 species
CAUUAUCAAGGUGCAGGAGAAACAGAAGGAGAGCUACCGGAGCAGAAUCAAAAAGGGGACCAAGUGCUACGACCUUCCGGGCGAAUUACUUGGUUUGGAAGAAGGACGAAAGGAUGGCGAGAUCUGAGAAACCUCGCUGCUCUGGGGUCACGAUCUGUUAAGGGUUACCUCGGUGGAAACAAACAAUCUCCAGUUUUAGCAGUUGGAUGGUCGACCACUGAAGCACUGUCGCCCUACACUUCAGUGAAGCCCAAUAGACAAAGUAUAUUAAGCUUUGGUUGACAUUUGAGAAGGCAAGAAAUGGUAGUUAUGCUGAGCUUAUAAAAAUGUACCUAUUCAACUGUCCAAGCCCCGCAGGAGGUAUCCCAUCCACCAUAACCGUUGAGUUCAGAUCAGUCUGAUUCUCUAUGCUCCGAGUCAGAGGGGGACCAGCUUGGGGUAGGCUAUACCUUCCAAAAGUGUUGAAAAGUACGUAUCUCCCAUUUAUAACACUGCGCCAAUCCAUCAAAUCUUCUCACAGUACAGUGUAACCUGUGUGUUUGCUUGUUUACGUCUCUGUCUCCUUACCUGUUCACUUAAACUCUGCUGCUGUUCUCCAGGACCUAGGGGUUCUGCCCAACACCCAGAUGUGGAUCCACCUGAUCUCCUCCAUUACCAACCAACCUUCAACGUUUCAUUACAUCAUCUACAGCUACUGUUAUUGUCAUGAUGUCAUUAUCUGCUAAGAUAGUUUUCUUGCUCUAUUAUACUGGGCACAUAUGUGAGAUACACAGAUGAACUAAAAACACUAGUACUGCAAACACUCAGAACAAAGAAAGCAGCAGUGCCUGGACUUCGCUGUCUCCCUCUUAAGUCCCCCUUUCGAGACUGACAGGCAUAACCUCCCACCCACACAGCAAUCACCUCCUCAAUAUUCCACACACCAGAAUUCAGUAUUUUAGUCUGAUUGCCAUGUGAGUGUACACUUUUUUUAUAUAUAUAUACUGACACAACUCUACCAAAAAAUAUAAAAGUUUAUGUAUUAAAAUAAAAAAGUUGUACGGUAUCCUUUUGUCGGGGUAGGUUCCUUGUUCCUUGUCAGUCAUUGGC